CCUACGGGUGGCAGCAGUGGGGAAUCUUGCGCAAUGGGCGAAAGCCUGACGCAGCGACGCCGCGUGAGUGAUGAAGGCCCUCGGGUUGUAAAGCUCUGUGGGGAGAGACGAAUAAGGGCCGGCUAAUACCCGGCUCGAUGACGGUAUCUCCUUAGCAAGCACCGGCUAACUCUGUGCCAGCAGCCGCGGUAAGACAGAGGGUGCAAACGUUGUUCGGAAUUACUGGGCGUAAAGCGCGUGUAGGCGGCAGGGUGUGUCGGAUGUGAAAUCCCGUGGCUCAACCACGGAAGUGCACCCGAAACUACCCAGCUCGAGUCUCGGAGAGGAAGGUGGAAUGCUUGGUGUAGAGGUGAAAUUCGUAGAUAUCAAGCGGAACACCGGUGGCGAAGGCGGCCUUCUGGACGAUGACUGACGCUGAGACGCGAAAGCGUGGGGAGCAA
rnacentral:rRNA from 1 species